AAAACGCUUUCCUUGAUAAAAUUUAAGCGUUUUAUAAGAGGAUGCCGGGGAAGGUUUUCCGGUUUAUCCCGGAGGGCUUGUAGCUCAGUUGGUUAGAGCGCGCGCUUGAUAAGCGUGAGGUCGGAGGUUCAAGUCCUCCCAGGCCCACCAGUUUAUCCAUUACUUUCAUAAGUGCUUUUAAAAAAUAAGUACUUCUAAAAAGAUUGCUUCUAAAAAGAUUGCUUCUAAAAAGAUUGCUUCUAAAAAGCUUAUCAAAAUUGGCAGGCUUAUUGCUUUUGUGUGAGUAAUCCAAAGUUAAAGCAAAUUAAUGGCAAAAAAACAGUUCAAAUGCUAAAUACUAAGGAGUCAAAAUUCCUUGCAAAGUGAUUUUUACAGCGUCCAUUUGGUUGAUAUAAAUUCCAAAUGCUCAUAGACGUCAAUGCCUAUAUGAAACUAUCGGUUCAAUCAUAUCGCUUUGAGUUAUAUAGAUUUUGUAAUCCCUCUUUUGAUCGUUUUAAACGCUUUAUCCUGAUUUAGGGGCCGUAGCUCAGCUGGGAGAGCACCUGCUUUGCAAGCAGGGG
rnacentral:misc_RNA from 1 species